GACCUCGGAUCAGGUAGGGAUACCCGCUGAACUUAAGCAUAUAAUAAGCGGGA
rnacentral:rRNA from 1 species